rnacentral:rRNA from 1 species
UACGUAGGGUGCGAGCGUUUAAUCGGAAUUACUGGGCGUAAAGCGUGCGCAGGCGGUUUUGUAAGCCAGAUGUGAAAUCCCCGGGCUUAACCUGGGAAUGGCAUUUGGGACUGCAAGGCUGGAGUGUGGCAGAGGAGACUGGAAUUCCUGGUGUAGCAGUGAAAUGCGUAGAUAUCAGGAGGAAUACCGAUGGCGAAGGCAGGUCUCUGGGCUGACACUGACGCUCAUGCACGAAAGCGUGGGGAGCGAAACAA